UGAUAUCAGGGAAGACUACCUGCCGU
rnacentral:piRNA from 1 species